CUACGGGAGGCAGCAGGCGCGAAACCUUUACAAUGCACGCAAGUGUGAUAAGGGGAUCCUAAGUGCUCAUACAUUGUAUGGGCUUUUGCCAAGUGUAAAUAACUUGGAGAAUAAGUGGUGGGUAAGACUGGUGCCAGCCGCCGCGGUAACACCAGCGCCACGAGUGGCAACCACGUUUAUUGGGCCUAAAGCGUCCGUAGCCGGCUAGGUAAAUCUUUUGUGAAAUCGUCAAGCUCAACUUGACGGCGCGCUUGAGACACUGCCUUGCUUGAGACCGGGAGGAGUCAGAGGUAUUCCAGGGGGAGCGGUAAAAUGUGAUAAUCCCUGGAGGAUCACCUAUGGCGAAGGCAUCUGACCAGAACGGAUCUGACGGUGAGGGACGAAGGCUGGGGGAGCGAUCCGGAUUAGAUACCCCAGUAGUC
rnacentral:rRNA from 1 species